GACGAACGCUGGCGGCGUGCUUAACACAUGCCAGUCGAACGGAAAGGCCCUGCUUUUGUGGGGUGCUCGAGUGGCGAACGGGUGAGUAACACGUGAGUAACCUGCCCUUGACUUUGGGAUAACUUCAGGAAACUGGGGCUAAUACCGGAUAGGAGCUCCUGCUGCAUGGUGGGGGUUGGAAAGUUUCGGCGGUUGGGGAUGGACUCGCGGCUUAUCAGCUUGUUGGUGGGGUAGUGGCUUACCAAGGCUUUGACGGGUAGCCGGCCUGAGAGGGUGAACGGCCACAUUGGGACUGAGAGACGGCCCAGACUCGUACGGGAGGCAGCAGUGGGGAAUAUUGCACAAUGGGCGGAAGCCUGAUGCAGCAACGCCGCGUGCGGGAUGACGGCCUUCGGGUUGUAACCCGCUUUCGCCUGUGACGAAGCGUGAGUGACGGUAAUGGGUAAAGAAGCACCGGCUAACUACGUG
rnacentral:rRNA from 1 species